AUUGAACGCUGGCGGCAGGCUUAACACAUGCAAGUCGAGCGGAGAUGAGGUGCUUGCACCUUAUCUUAGCUGCGGACGGGUGAGUAAUGCUUAGGAAUCUGCCUAUUAGUGGGGGACAACAUUCCGAAAGGGAUGCGAAUACCGCAUACGUCCUACGGGAGAAAGCAGGGGAUCUUCGGACCUUGCGCUAAUAUAUGAGCCGAAGUCGGAUUAGCUAGUUGGUGGGGUAAAGGCCUACCAAGGCGACGAUCUGUAGCGGGUCUGAGAGGAUGAUCCGCCACACUGGGACUGAGACACGGCCCAGACUCCUACGGGAGGCAGCAGUGGGGAAUAUUGGACAAUGGGGGGAACCCUGAUCCAGCCAUGCCGCGUGUGUGAAGAAGGCCUUAUGGUUGUAAAGCACUUUAAGCGAGGAGGAGGCUACUGAGACUAAUACUCUUGGAUAGUGGACGUUACUCGCAGAAUAAGCACCGGCUAACUCUGUGCCAGCCGCCGCCGUAAUAC
rnacentral:rRNA from 1 species